UAAGGUAAUUGCUUUGACUGCUUGAGA
rnacentral:piRNA from 1 species